AGAUGCGAUCAUACCAGCACUAAAGCACCGGAUCCCAUCAAAACACCGAAGUUAAGCGUGCUUGGGCNNNNNNAGUACUAGGAUGGGUGACCUCAUGGAAGUAAUGCUUAAGUUUCCGACUC
rfam:Hordeum vulgare subsp. vulgare, WGS project CAJW01000000 data, contig: morex_contig_1069814